GUACAAGUGAUUUCGACAAAAACACACGACUCAAUUUACCGAUUUCUCGUUGACGGUGAUCUUUACCGGUCCUCGAUCGAUAGGAAUCCACCAAUCGACCUUGCUGCAACUCCUCGCAGCGUCAACGCCUCAACUCCUCGAAGCAUCCACCGAAUCCUCGGCUUCACGCGAGAUCCACGCGCCGAACCUCCUUCCGGAGCUUGUAGAAUUGAAGAUUUGUGGUGAUUUAACUUUUGAAAACCAUAAGCUAUGAGGGUUCACCUUUAAUCAAUCAUCUACUUGAUUCUCGUAAGAAGUAUCGAGUAAAAACAAAGAAUCAAGCCGAUGUUGAUUACUAGAAACUCAUCAUGUAAAUCUAAGCAUUGAAACGGGGAAGAAACAAGUUUCUAGGGUUUAGAAUUGGUAAAAAAUUCAAAGCCUUAAUUUUAGAUGACCCACAUAGCUUAUUUAUAUGUUUAGAAGACUUAGAAGUAGACUAGGAUUGCAAAAAGUCGUUUUCAAAAACCUGUGUCGUCCUCAGAGACCGGUCCUCUCGAGGAGACCGGUCUGUGAGAGACCGGUCUCUCAAGUGAGGAACCGGUCCCUCCCUGCGUGACCAAAAACCCAACGUUCGGGAACCGGUCUCUCAAACUUGAGACCGAUCCCUCGCUGCGCGACAGAAUCACCAAGGUUCGGGAACCGGUCUCUCAUCACAGGGGACCGGUUGCAUCAUGUUUUACGCAGUGAGGACCUUGGGGGAACCGGUCUCUCCAUCUCAGAGACCGGUCCCAGAACACAAGAAAGUUCAGAAAAGUUGUUUAAAAACAAUCUAAGCCUUCUGAACUUAUUCUAAUUAUGUAUCUUCACCACAAAUGAUCUUUUCUUCAUACCUUAGGUGUCGAUCUUUCCGAAUGAGUCUUCGUCCUCCAAUUUGAAUCUUUUCUCAAAAACUUCUGCGAUCAACUCUUCAAGACUCCAAACAACUUUACGAAAUUCGCCAACCUAUAAAAUCCUUAACAACAAUAAAAACAAAAAUAGAGAGUCAACCACCUAGCGUAGAACUCCUCGCACUCUAGCUAGUCGCGACACCCUUGCCGUGGUCCCUAGCGUCUCCUGGGGUGGAAGGCUCUGAAAUAAAAACAAUAACACAGAGGGUGUGAGAACUAUUAAUCGAUAGUUUCUAGUGGGUAAGCCGCAAACCUCAGCAAAAUACACCACUAGGUUAUAGAGGCAAGAGUAGAAGUAUAAAACUACAAAAAACAGCAUGUAGGUUCAACAAGUAUUAAAUUUGCUAUGUUACUAUGCCUCAAAUUUAGCAUGGUAUUAAACAUGUAAUGCUACUAGUCUAUCAUGUAUGAGUAUAUCCAAAGAGUAUACUAUUAUGCUCCAAAUAUGUCCAACAAGUAUACUACUAUACACCAAGCAAGUCUAUCAAGUAUACUAAUAUGUUGUAACACACUGGACCUGUACAAAUUGCGAGGUUCAAGUGUUUGAUUUGAGUUCCGAGCUUUUCCACACCUUGUGGAGGGUCGUAGACGGUGUUCCGACCUGUAGUUCGAAAUUCUGGAUUUUUGGCUAAGUCCUGAGAGUUUUACUCUCGGGGACCGGUCCCUGGUGGGAGAGACCGGUCCCUCGUUGCGUGGAUGCGGCUGUCGGCCGAGGAAACCGGUCCCUCAGCCAGAGAGAUCGGUUCCCAAACGCGUGUUCGGCGGGAGGGUCCGAGAGACCGGUCCCAGGUGCGGGGAGACCGGUCCCUCAGCCCGAAAACUGCCCAGACCUGGCAGUGCACUAUUUUGAUUGUUGAGGGGGCUUAGUGGAUUUUGUUACAUUAGAGGGCCUAUAUGGCAUUUCCUUUCCCCCGCUCCCUCGUUUCUCUCCCUCACACUCUCUCUUACACUCUAGAAACAGAAGAAGAAGGAAAAGGAAGGAGGAGAAGAAGGAGAAGAUGAAGGAGAGCAAGCUUGGAGGAGCUUUGGACAUCUUCCCCUCCCUCUUUCCUCACCAUUGGAGGCUUGGAGCUUGUUGUUGGAGCUUUGUGGAGGAAGGACCUUCAACCCUAGAGCACUUUGAGCUUGGUUUAGAGCUUCUCUUGAGGUUGGUAGCAUGUAUUCCUCAUUUGAUACAUACUUUUCUAGAUUUUGCUAGAUGAAACCCUAGAUUUGGAUUCUAGGGUUAGAAUUGGAGAUUUUUGUUCUGGGGGGCUUUGGAACCUAAUUGAUGGGUUUAGAACCUUUGUUUAGAUUGGAUUGGAAUGACUCUAACUCCUAUUUGGAGAUCGAGAGAGUUUCCUUCGCAUUCGGUAAGUUCUUAGCCCUAUCCUUGAGUUCGUUUUUGAUCAACCUCAUGGUUGUUCGUUAGAUUCAUUUAACUUAUAUUUUGAUGCUCCUAGGGUACUAGGAGGCUUGUGGGCACCUUCGUCGGAGCAAACGAAGGGUUUGGAGAAGUCCGGUGGGUUUGACUUCAUGAAAUCGGGGCAAAAUGGCCCCUAUGUAUAUUAUACUUGUCGUAACGUCAAUUUGAUUGCAUAUUCAUACUAAAUGGGAUUUAUAUGAAUUUUAGAAUACUUAAAAUGAAUGUGUUAUGUAUAAUAAAAAUUUCACUCUAUAUAUAGUAGAGCUAUAUGUGUAUGCUGCAUGCAUGUGGAAAGUGGUUCCCUAUACGAAUUGGGAACAUGUCUCUUAUGAGAAAAAGGACUAGAAUUACGGACUUGUGAACAUAAUCAUCAUGCUUGGACUUAGUGAACAAAGUGCCAUAAAGGGGCACCUGAACUAGUAAACUAUGAAACUGCAAUAUAAAGACAUAGAGUUUGGCCAUUGUGACUUGAUUAUAUUCCAUGUUUUAGACCUGAUGAUAUAGAGAUAGGCCCUUGAGACAUAUGUAAUAUUCCAUAUUUUAGACAUGAUGACUUGAGACUUGAGACGGAUCUUACGCUUGCUGCCAUUGUGCUCAUUCACACACGCUUGAGGGUCGCUCCCUACAAGCCAGCACUUCGGAGAUGGCCAUCGCGAUACAUAUUCGCCGUGCGGGAUUGGGCGCCGAAGUGGAUUGCCGUGGGCAACACUCAUUCCUAGAGUAGGGAUGUUGACUACCACGGGGCCAUUAGGCUCUGCACCAGCCAGACAGCCUACAUGUGGGUCUACAGGCUAGACAGCCUUCGGGCGGGUCUUCCAAGAUUUAACUUUAAGUAGUUAACAUGCCAAGUGAACAUUGACUAGAAUAGUAAACAAUGAUAUUUCACUAUUACAUUGGGGACAUUACGAUGGUUGUUUACUCGUGCAUUUUCAUGAUAGAAUAGCUUUCUUAUGCAAUUCCAUGCUAAGUAGAGACAUUAUGUAGUAGCAAGUACUCAAGUUUAUUUACUUGUCGUAUAUAUCGCUUUUGCUUAUACUCGUACUUACCCCUUUUUGUAGCUUUUGGGCCUAGUGGUGCAUUUCACUAAGGUUAGUAAUUGCCCACUCGGAACUAUUAUUUAAUAGUUCUCACGCCCCCUGUUUUAUGAUUUUAUUUUAGAGCCUUCGGCACCGGCGGAGGCACGGGAUCGCGGCAAGGGUGUCGCCUAACUAGAUAGCGGGGAGCUGCUUGCUCUUAGGUGAUUACUCUAUUUUUUGUGUUUUUGGUGAGAGAGAGAUUUUGCAUCAUGUAUAGAGACCACCUAUGUACUCUUUUAGCUCUUUUUUUGGGAUAUCUAUUGUAUUACUUAUGACUUUUAUUUAGUGGAUUUGGAUUUCUUUUACCUUACCAUGUUGUAGAAAUCUAGAUGUACUUUGCUCUGAUAUCGCUAGAUCUCCUCGUAUUAUUGCUUUAUUUAUCAUUUUGUUGUAGACGCCUUAUAUAUUUUAGACAUAUGGCGGGUCUGGGCACGCGCCGGGCGGGCUUCCGCUGGGCCCCGGGGCAUGACAGAUUAAUUUGGUAUCAGAGCUUAGGGUUGAGUCUUAGUGGAUAUAGCAAACCUUAGGCCGGUUGGAUUAUAAAAAAUAGGCUCGUGAGAGACGAGGUCUAUUUGACUUGUAAGCGAAAGUAUCUUCAUUGGGUAUCUUUGAUAACUCUAGAAAGUAGAGUUAAAUCGAAGUGUAUAACUUCUAACUUCGCGGAGGGUUACGUUGGCGGCCGACAACGUAACAUCGGGAGUUAGUAGUGAAGAACACUUCUUUACUUUCGCAUGAUUUAGGGUUUAUCUUCUUGAGCGGGGAUUCGAUAGCGUGGGUUUUACUAACUUGUGCUUUUAUGAUGUUGUAGUGAGAUGCCGAUCACUCGCUCACAAUCUGCUGGAACGGAUAAUGCGGCACACUUUGAGGAGGUCGAGACCCCCGCUACCUCCGGAUCCGGUGAGGUCUGUGAGUUGAGGGGCCAGCUUGCAGCCCUCACUGACAUGGUGGCACAGCAGACAGAGGCAGCGCGCCGACAGGAGCCGCAGAUAAAGCGCUUGGAGGACCUCCUACUUCAGCAGGUGCUGCUAGAAAGACUCAGGCUCCUACGCCACCCGCACCGGUGGAGGUGGUUGCACCCUGAGGGUUGUCCCCUGCACUCGACACAUCUCGGACGGCACCUGCGGCAGCACCACAGGAGGAGGAGAUUGCGGCACCGCAAGUUCGGGCGCCUACGGCUGGGGUAGUUUUUCCCGUGACGGUUGUUGGAGAGGAGAGGGACAGACUGAUGAAGCGCCUCAACGAGUUCAGGAGGUGUAGUCCCCGGAUCUUUGACGGAGAAAAGGUCGACCACUGGAUCGUGGAGAAGUGGUUGAUGCAUAUGGAGAAACUCUUCCGCGACACCUUCGUGGAGGAAAGGGAUCGAGUUUGGCUCGUCACUCACCACCUGGACGGCGAGGCCUGUCACUGGUGGUUGGAUCUUUAGGAGAACCCCAGCACUGACUUGGCGGCUAUUACUUGGAAGAAGUUCAAGGAGCUUCUUUUGGCACACUACUUCCCGACCAGCGUCAAGAGGAAGAUGGAGCAGGACUUGCGCAAUUUAGGCCAAGGAGACCGCACUGUGGCCGAGUAUGAGAGGGAGUUUUCUCGGCUUCUUCACUGCGUGCCUUUUGUCGUGCGGGACGACGAGGAUAAGGCACGCAUCUUCGAGCGAGGGUUGCGACCGUUGAUUUUCCGGUUCGUGCAAUCCUCUAACCUCCAAACCUACAGGGAGAUGGUGGAUCGUGCGCUCAUAGUGGAGAGCGGCGCGGCGGAUGUUUAGGAGCGGCGAGAGGCUUUGGACAAGGGGAAGGGCAAGAGGCUCAUGGCUGAGGGUGCAAGCCAGACGCACUCUCGGAGCCCGCCGAAGCACCCUAGGAGCCAGCAGUGUGGGCGUGGCUCAGCGACACACCGUGGAGGUUCUGAUCGUCGCCGGCCUUCCCAGUGUGUGAUUUGCGGUGGUCCUCACUACCCACCGUAGUGUCCACAGCGAGCGGAAAGGUGCUACUAGUGUUGCCAGGAGGGCCACAUCCGGAUUGAGUGCCCGAGAGGCUUGUCACCAGCACCAUCAUCUGCAUUAGCACCGGCUCUACCAGCUGCCAGCCAAGGGACUCCAUCGGCACAGUACCAGCCUGGGCGGUCAUCCGUCCAGCGACAGAGAGAGGGAUCUCGAUAGGCCCCGAGUGGGCGCAUGUAUGCCGCUCAGACCGAGGAGGCGGAGACAACCGAGGAUGCGGUUGCAAGUAUCAUUUUACUUGAUGACAUUAGAGUUCGUGCAUUAUUUGAUACCGGUGCAUCGCAUUCAUUCAUAGAUCAGCUGUUUGCCGAGUUGCAUGGCAUCUCAUUGGUUUUUUUGUUGCAACCGGGACAGGUUGUAGUACCCGACCACACUCUGAAUAUUAGAGAGUACUGCCCCAGUUGCCCUGUUCGGGUAGGAGACUGGAUUAUGCCUGUGGAUUUGCUAGUUUUGCGCAAACUGGGAGAUUUCGACGUGGUUUUGGGCAUGGAUUGGCUAACUAAGUAUUAUGCCACAAUCGAUUGUAAGAGUCGCAUGGUUACAUUUAGAGAACCGGGGCAGACUGAGGUGGUGUUUUGUGGAUACCGGAGUUCACUUUUUGCGAUGACGAUCAGCUCGUCUCGAGCUAGGCAGCUGAUUAGCAGAGGUUGUGUAGCCUAUUUGGCUAGUGUUGUGCUGAGGGGCGAUGAUGACACCCCUAGGAUUGAGGAUAUACCGGGUAUGCCCCCUGAUAGGGAGAUUGAGUUUGUGGUGGAUCUCGUCCCUGGAACUAUCCCAAUCUCAAAGGCAUCCUAUAGGAUGGCACCGGUAGAGCUGAAGGAGCUGAGGGCACAGCUGCAGGAUUUGUUGGACAAAGGCUUCAUUAGACCGAGUGUCUCGCCUUGGGGAGCACCAGUUUUGAUCGUCAAGAAAAAGGACGGAUCACUUCGCCUAUAUGUGUACUAUCGUGAACUUAAUAAAGUCACAAUCAAGAAUAAGUAUCCGUUGCCGAGAAUUGACGACUUGUUUGAUCAACUUCAAGGAUCGUGUGUGUAUUCCAAGAUAGACUUGCAGUCGGGAUACCACCAGUUAAAGAUUAAACCCGAGGAUGUAUCGAAGACGGCUUUUAGAACACGGUAUGGACACUAUGAGUUCACAGUUAUGCCAUUCGGGCUUACUAAUGCCCCGGCAGCUUUUAUGGAUCUAAUGAACCGUGUUUUCAAGCCUUACCUAGACAGGUUCGUCGUGGUGUUCAUUGAUGACAUUUUGGUUUAUUCUCGAUGUGAUGCGGAUCAAAAGGAACAUUUGAGGCUUGUGCUUCAAAUACUUUGGAAAAGGGAGCUUUAUGCCAAGCUGAAAAAGUGUGAAUUUUGGCUUCGAGAGGUAGCCUUCCUUGGACAUUUGAUUUCGGGAUCGGGUAUUGCCGUGGAUCCUAGGAAGAUUGAGACUAUCAAGGAUUGGCUGAGACCGACGAGCGUUACGGAGAUACAGAGCUUUCUUGGAUUGGCCGGUUACUACCGGAGAUUUGUUCAGGGGUUUGCCAAGCUAUCUACUCCCCUCACGAGGCUCACGCAUAAAGGCGUCAAGUUCAUUUGGAAUGAUGCGUGUGAAAGGAGCUUCCAAGAGUUGAAGCAAAGAUUGACGACCGCCCUGAUCCUAAUCCUGCCGGUUGCCGGAGCAGGGUAUGUGGUUUAUAGUGAUGCUUCACUUAAUGGAUUGAGUUGUGUAUUGAUGCAAAAUGGCAAGGUGAUCGCGUAUGCUUCUCGCCAACUGAAUGAGUAUGAAUGGAACUACCCUACGCAUGAUUUGGAGUUGGCGGCCAUAGUCUUUGCGUUGAAGCUAUGGCGCCACUACCUUUAUGGCGAGCGAUGUGAAGUAUACACGGAUCAUAAGAGCUUGAAGUAUUUAUUCACUCAGAAGAAGUUGAACUUGAGACAGCGCAGAUAGUUGGAACUGCUUAAAGAUUAUGAUCUGACGAUUCUCUACCACUCGGGCAAGGCUAAUGUAGCAUACUGGACCUUUGUAAAUUAUGAGGUUCGAGUGUUUGAUGUGUACUCCAAACUUUUUCACACUUGGUGGAAGGCCGUAGAUGGUAUUCCGGCCUAAAAGUUCGAUCUCUAGAGUUUUGGCAAGUCCUGAGAGUUUUCACUCUCGGGGACCGGUCCCUGAUAUAAGAGACCGGUCCCCUCAGAACAGUGCUGCUGCAGGGCUUGAGGCAACCGAUCCCUCGCUGGGAGAGACCGGCUCCCGAACGCGUGUUUUACGUGAAGUGUCCGAGAGACCGGUCCUUGGCGGGGAGAGACCGGUUCCCGAACGCGUGUUUUGCUUGAAGGGUCCGAGAGACCGGUCCCUGGUGGGGGGAGACCGGUUCUCGAACGUUGGUUUUGCGGGACGAAACGAGAGACCGGUCCCAGGUGUCGGGGAGACCGGUCCCUCAGCGCGAAAACUGCCCAGACCGGGCAGUGCACAGGGUGAUUCCUUAGGGGGCAUAUAUGGAUUUUGUAGCUUCUAAGGGCCUUAAGGCCAUUUCCACCCUCUCACUCUCUCAUUUCUCACCCUCCUUACACUUCUAGAGAAAGAAGGAGGAGAAGAAGAAGAAGAAGUUGGAGGAGAGCAAGAUCUUGAGGCUUGGAGCAUCUUCCUCUCCCUUUUGCUCACCAUUGGAGGCUUGGGGCUUGGGCUAGGAGCUCGGUAGAGGAUCAAUCUACAACCCUAGAGCAUUUGGAGCUUGGUUUGGAUCUUCUCUUGAGGUCAGUUGCUUAUUUCUCCCAUCUAGACCUAUUUUUGUAGAUUUUGGGAGAUGAAAUCCUAGAUUUGGAUUUUAGGGUUUAUUUUGGGAAUUUUUAAUUUGAGGGUUUGGAGACCUAAUUGAUGGGUUUAGAACCUUCCUCUAGGUUGGGUCGGAAAGGUUAUUGCUAUCUUUGGAUGCUUGGGAAGGGAUUUCAUCACAAGAGGUGAGUUAUGCCCUCUAUGCUUAGAUGGUUAAGAUUGAGCUUUUCGAUGUUCGUUUCGAUUAUGUAACUCUUGUUCCUACAUUUUUAGGGUGCUAGGAGACUCGUGGACACCUCCAUUCGGCGAAACGAAGAGUUUCGAUUUUUGGUGGGUUUGACUUCAUGAAAUUGGGGCAAAAUGGCCCCUAUGCAUUACAUACUCAUCGUAAAGUCUUUUUGAAUGUAAAUCCAUGCUAGAUAGGAUUUAUGAAAAUUUUAGAACCCUUGAAAUGCAUGUGCUAUAUGUAAGAUGAAUAUCACUCUAUGUAGUAGAGCUAUAUGUGUAGACUGCAUGUAUGUGAAAUGUGUGCAUCUUUUCAAGUUGAGGACAUGUCUCUUAUGCUAGAAAUGGUUAGAAUUAUGUAUUCAUGAACAUAAUUAUCAUGCUUGGACUCGUUGAACAAAAGUGUCAUAAAGGGGCACUUGAAACUAGUAAAUUAUGAAAAUGCAAUAUAGAGACAUAGUGAUAGGCCAUUGGACAUCGACUAUAUUCCAUGUUAGAGACAUGAUGACAUAGUGAUAGGCCUUUGUGACAUUCGAUAUAUUUCAUGUUCUUAGACAUGAGGACUUGAGACUUGAGACAAACUUAUACGCAUGCUUGCCAUUGUGCUCAUUCGCACGUGCUUGUGAGGGUCGCUCCCUACAAGCCGGCACUCCGGAGUUAGCCAUCGCGAUACAUAUUCGCCGUGCGAAAUUGGGCGCCGAAGUGGAUUGCCGUGGGAAAGGCUCAUUCCUAAGAGUGUGGAUGUUGACUACCACGGGGCCAUUAGGCACGGCACCGGCCGGACAGCCUACGGGUGGGUCUUAUAGGCCAGACAGCCUUCGGGUGGGUCUUCAUGCCAGACAGCCUUCGGGUGGGUCUUAUAAGAUUAAACUUUUAACAGUUAAGUGACAAGUAGACAUUGAGUAGAAUAGUAAAUAAUGACAUCGUUACUAUUUGCAUCGAGGACAUCGUGGUGGUUGCAUACUCAUGCUUAUUCAGGUUAAUCACAUUCAUCACCAUACUCGUUGUAGUUGCUUUAUUUCUCAUGCAGUUCAUACUGAGUAAAGAUAUCAUGGCAGAAUAGUACUCAUGGUCCCAUACUUGUUCAUUAUUUCGCUUUCGUUUGUGCUUGUACUGACCCUCUUUUGUAGCUUUUAGGCCUAGUGGCGCAUUUCACUGAAGUCAGUAAUUGCCCACUGGGAACUAUUAUUUAAUAGUUCUCACGCCCUCUGUUUUAUGGUUUUAUUUCAGAGCCUUCGGCACCGGCGGAGGCACGGGAUCGCGGCAAGGGAGUCGCGUAGCUAGUUAGUGGGGAGCUACUUUUGAGCUUAGGUGGUUUAUUUUUUCUUUUAUUGUAUUAGAGAGAGAGAGAUUUUGAGUACCAUGUAUAGAGACCACCUAUGUGUUUGUUUAGCUUUUAUUUUGGGAUUCUUAUUGUAUUACUUUAUGUUUCUUCUAGUGGAUUUUUGGUAUAUGGUUCGUUUCCUCCGUUGUAGCAACUAGAUAUACUUGCUCUGAUACUCCUAGUUGUCCUCUUUUUACUGAUUCAUUUAUCGUUUUGUCUUAGACGCCUUAUAUGUUCUAGACAUAUGGCGGGUCUGGGCACGUGCCGGGCGGGCUUCCGCUGGGUCCCGGGGCGUGACAGAUUAGUUUGGUAUCAGAGCCUAGGGUUGAGUCUUAGUGGACCUAGCAAACCUUAGGCCAGUUGGACUAUAGGAAAUAGGCUCGUGAGAGACGAGGUCUAUUUGACUUGGAAGCGAAAGUAUCGUGAUUGGGUAUCUUGAUAACUCUAGAAAGUGGAGUUAAAUUGAAAUGCAUGUAUAGCUCCUAACAUCGCGGAGGGUUACGUUGGCAGCCAACAACGUAACAGCGGGAGUUAGUAGUGAAGCACACUUUAUUACUUUCGCAUGAUUUGGGGCAUUACCUUCUUGAGUGGGGAUUCAUGGCGUGAGUUUACUAACUUACGCUUUUAUGAUAUUGUAGUGUGAUGCCGAUUACACGCACUCAAUCUGCCGGAGCGAAUAACGCAGCAAAUCUCGAGGAGGUUGAGACCUCCACUACCUUUGGAUUCGGCGAGGUUCGAGAGUUGAGGGGCCAGCUUGGGGCCCUCACUGAUAUGGUGGCACAGCAGACUGAGGCGGCGCGCCGACAGGAGGCGCGGAUGAAGCGUCUGGAGGAUCUCCUACUGCAGCAGGCGGAGACUCGGGAGGCUCAGCUUCCUACACCACCCGCACCGGUGUAGGUGGCUGCACCCCGAGGAUCGUCCCCUGCACUCGACAUAUCUCGGACGAUGCCUGCGGUAGCGCCUCUGAAGGAGGCUAUUGCGGCACCACCUGUGCCGAGGCCUCCGGUUUGAGCGGUCUUCCCUGUGAUGGCCGAGGAAGCAGAGCGGGACAGGCUGAUAAAGCGCCUUAACGAGUUCAGGAGGUGCAGUCCUCGGAUAUUCGAUGGCGAGAAGGUCGACCACUGGAUCGUGGAGAAGUGGUUGAUGCAUAUGGAGAAGCUCUUCCGCAACACCUUCGUGGAGGAGAGAGAUCGAGUUUGGCUCGCCACUCACCAUUUGGACGGCGAUGCCUACCGCUGGAGGUUGGAUCUCCAGGAGAACCCCAGGACUGACUUGGCGGCUAUUACAUGGAAGAAGUUCAAGGAGCUUCUACUGGCGCACUACUUUCCGACAAGCGUCAAGCGAAAAAUGGAGCAGGAUCUGCGCAACUUGUGCCAAGGUGAUCGGACUGUGGCCAAGUACGAGCGGGAGUUUUCUCAGCUUCGUCACUGCGUGCCUUUCGUCGUGCGGGACGAUGAGGACAAGGCUCGCAUCUUCGAGCAAGGGUUGCGACCAUCGAUCUUCCGGUUUGUGCAAUCCUCUAACCUCCAAACCUACCGGGAGGUGGUGGAUUGCGCACUCAUAGUGGAGAGUGGCGCGGCAGACGUUCAGGAGCGACGAGAGGCGAUGGACAAAGGUAAGGCCAAGAGGCCUGCGGCAGAGGGUGCGAGCCAAACGCACUCUAGGAGGCCGCUGAAGCAUCCUAGGAGCCAGCAGUGAUGACGCGGCUCAGCGGCGCAUCGAGGAGGACCUGAUCGUCGCUGGCCCUCCCAGUGUGUGAUCUGCGGUGGCCCUCAUCACCCGCCGCAGUGUCCGUAGUGGGCGGGCAGGUACUAUGUGACGCCCCAGCUUCCUAGGGGGUCACCCAUCCUAGGACUACUCCCAUCCUUGCACGCUUAACUCUCUUAACCUCUUGGGCCUUGCCACCACCCAAAAUGCUUAAGCCGGGAUAAGAGUUUAGCCCUAUUAUAUCUCUUAUAUAGGACUAUCUGGGGUCUCACAAUCUCCCAUUCUUUAAGCCCUGACGUCCUCGUCAGGCUGAGAUACACAAAUACCAGGCGAUGUGAGACUCGUCUCGCUAGCCUAUCACCCAAACCCUGGCUCAGCCGAGACUCAUCUCACACUUCCGGCUAGUAAUUGGCUCUGAUACCAUCUGUGACGCCCCAGCUUCCCAGGGGGUCACCCAUCCUAGGACUACUCCCAUCCUAGCACGUUUAACUCUCUUAACCUCUUGGGCCUUGCCACCACCCAAAAUGCUUAAGCCGGGUUAAGAGUUUAGCCCUAUUAUAUCUCAUAUAUAGGACUAUCUGGGGUCUCACAUACUACCAGUGUGGCCAGGAGAGCUACAUCCGUACUGAGUGCCCGAGAGGUUCUUCACCGGCACCGUCGACUGUAUCGGCACCGGCUCUACCAGCCGUGAGCCACGGGACUCCGUCGACACAGUACCAGCCGGAGCGGCCACCCGUCCAGCGCCAGAGCGAGGGAUCUCGACAGGCCCUGUGUAAUAUACCGAGAAUUUGGAAAAUAAAUGUCGAACUUUAGUCAAAUUGACCAAAGUCUGAGGAAGGUACACUUCGGAAAGUCCGAAGGUGUUAAAAGGAUCAAAAGUGUGUUAUGGGAGAUUUUCGAGAGCUAAAGAAUCAAAGAUCUGCAAACUGCAGUUUUUGAGCUCUGGGGGACCAGUCCCUGGAGGGAGAGACCGGUCCCCGAACGCGUGAAAACUCAGCAGCUGAAAAAUCGGCUAAGUCCUGGAAAACUAGCUCUCGGGAACCGGUCACUGCGGGGAGAGACCGGUCCUCGAGAGACCGGUCUCCCUGGCAGAGACCGGUUGUCCCGUGCGAAAGCCCUGCUGCCCGCGGGGAGAGCUCUCUGGGAUCGGUCCCAAGUCGGGGAGACCGGUCCCCGAGCACGGAAAGUGCCCAGUUCGGGCAGUGUAUCAGGAUGAAAGUUGAGGGGUUUAACUGAAAUUUUGCAACCCAUAGAGUAUAGUAUGGGGGAAAAUGAGAUGUUUCUCUCAUUUCACUCCCUCUUCCACUCUCAUCUCUCUUUCUCUCUCUAGAAGACAAGAAGGAGAAGAAGAAGAGAAGGAAAAGAAGGAAAAAGAAGAGGAAGAAAGUGAAGAAAAAGGCAAGGAGAAGAAGAAGACCCCUCUUCUCCUUCUCUAUCUUGGAAAAGGAGCAAGCUUAGAGGUAAGCCUUGCCCCUUCUCAUGGUAAAUCCCAAACUAGGGUUUGGAUUAGGCUAAGAAUGGUUUUUAUAGAACCUUUAGAGUAUUUGAAGCUUUCCUUUUGCUUUUUUUGAGAUCAAGACCAUGGCAUGAGUGUAAUGGGUGAAGCUUGAAGGUGAGCUUGACCCCUCUCAUGAUAGAAUCCAAACUAGGGUUUAGAUUGAACUAAAGAUGGUUUUGAUGGACUUCCUAGAGUAGAACGAAGCUACUUUUGCUUCCCAAUGAGAUCAAACCCUAAGUUUUCUUAUGCUAUGGAGGGAGGGCACCCAAAUUGGGGCUUUUGCUCAUGGGGAUUUCUAAGUGAAAUUGACCCUCUAGAAACCUAAUUAGGACCAAACGAACGCGUUGGUGCGCUCGGUUUGAGUAUACGAAAAGCCAAUGUAAAGAUAUGAGCAAAAUAGCCUAAUAGGGUUUUGUUUUGCUGCAGGUAAAGAACGAAGGGUCUAAAAAUCCAAAGAAAAUCAUCGAAGCACCUUUGAAAAUCUACGAGGUGGGUGGUGCUUUUCAAACUCGUUGAACUUCCCUCUAUGCCUAAUGUGUCAUUCAAUUGAGCAUAUGUAUAUACAUUGUUGCAUGCAUUUUAGGGUAAAGCAAUGAUAAAAAUAUGAUGUUGCAUGAUUGUGAGUACAACUUGCGUAAUGUGAUGGUUAAGAACCUUAUGAAUGUCAAAACCCUAUAUAUGUAUGCAUGAGAGAAAAUGUGAGUACCAAAGUGAGGUGAAAGAACCGAGUGACACAAUUAGACAUAGAUCGAGUGGCAUUUGAUAAUGUAAAAUAAAGUGACACUAGAGGUAGUGUGAGGCAAAGAAUCAAUGUGAUGUAAAGAAUAAUGAUAAUGACUAAAGUGAAAACAAAGUGGGGCGUAAAGAACAUGAUUGCUAGAGUUAGCAAAAGUAAAGAAAGGUAAAGAACAAUGAUUGCUAGAGUAGCAACAUAAAGUGAUGUAAAGGACACUAGAGUUAGUGUAAAGUCAAGAUUGAACAUACAAUCCUUUGAGUUAAGGAUUCGAUUAUACUUGCUAUGAGUUUCGUGCUCGAGGGCGGUUGCUCCCCCUCGGGCGAUGCGCUCCGGAGUUUUUGCAUCACGGGUUAGAGUAAACCCGUGGACGGUUUUAGCGGGAGGAAGCUGAGGGGGCGCGAUGAUGGACUUAAUGUGAAGCAAGUUAAUGUGGCGAAACCCCCGGGUUAGCCCUGAGAUUAAAGAACAAAGAGCAAAGAACAAAGAACAAAGACAAGGUGUAAAGUGCAAAGAACAAAAGAACUUGCAUAAUCUGCAUAUGUUAAUGUUGAGCAUAUUUCCUGCUUAUUGUUCAGGCAUAUUAGCAUCAUAUUAUAGACUGAUUACUAUAUGCAGCUUUUCCUUUCUAUUAUGCCUGAGUUAGUCCUAGUGGGAAAGUCGGUGAUGUUGAGGCCGAACCCACUGGAAACUUUGUUGUAGUUCUCACCCCACUAUUCCACAAAGCCGGGACCGAGCAAGCUGGCGAGCAACCGCGGUAAAGGUAUCGCACCAUAGUCAGAGGCUAGCAGUGCUGGGUUUAUAUUUUGUAGUAGAGUACCCUAUGAUCAUCUUUUGUAUUUGAUGAUUAAUGACGUAAAGAAAAGAAUGUAAAGCUCUCUUUUGAGGUAAAUGUGAUGUAAGAAAGAGAUGAUGAAACGAUGUAAUGAAAUGUAAGGGAUUGUAAAUGUACAAGUUGGAUGUAAUGUAUAUGAUCUAAAUUGAAUCAUAGUACAAAAUAAAUGCUAAUUUUUUUAUAUUUCACUCAUGGCUAUUUCUUACCCUCGUGUAAGCCGUAUUUGUAUGUUUCCGCUAGUGCACUUUUUUGUUGAAAAUGUACAUGUGAUGAGCCUUGGGCGCACAGGGGAAAUUCUGUCCGUUCGGCAUCUAUUUGACGUGCUCGGGCCGGCCCAAAUUGGUAUCGGUCACGGGGCGUGACAGAUAUCGUGGUAUCAAAGCCAAGAGUGAAAGAAUAGGAAUGGACCUAGAGACCAUUAGGAUUGGAAGACCUUAAGGAUCUAGGAAAUGUGAGUGACAUGGAAUUAAAGUUAGCGAAAGCAUGUGAUUGGGUUAAGUUGGGACGUCUCUAAUGUGGUUAGAGGCUAAGUUUAAUUUUCGUUUAUCCUCUACUUCUAGUGUUGUGUCGGGCGGCCGACGACGUGACGCUUGAGGCAAGAAUGAAUGUGCAUGUUGCUUUCGCCAGAUUGGGUUGGUCAAGUAAUGUUGGUCAAGUAGCUAAUGCGAGUUGCUUCUUUUCAGUAAGCAAUGGCACCUCGUGGACGACCGCAGACAAGGUCGAUGCCGGAGGAGCCGAGUGCGGAGCCCGAGCGAUCCGGAGCGAGUGGCGACGGAGAGCAUAGGGAACAGAUGGCCGCGCUUAUUGGAGUGGUGCGGCAACAAGCGGAGUCUGUUCAACGCCAAGGGGAGCAGAUUCAGUGGCUCCAAGAGGCUUUGGAGCAUCAGCAGGCAGUGGCAGCGGCCCAGGCGGGUAUCGAGCAUGUCGCGUCUCCUGUGGUGGUACCGAGUGUGGAUGAGGGAGCGGCGGCAGCGGCGGCUGUUCCAGUUAUGGUAAUACUGGCCGGAUUGGGAACUUCAAAUCCCGGUAGUGCGGCGGUAGAAGCGGAGCGAGAGCGCAUGUUGGCGGCUCUCAUUCAGUUCAACAAGUUCAACCCACCUAUUUUUGAAGGUGGAUUGGUGGAGCCAGUGGUGGUGGAGUCGUGGAUCGACUCGAUGGAAACGCUCUUCGAGGACCUAAAUACCUCGGAGAAGGACAAAGUGUACCUUGCCACUCAUUGUCUAGAGAAGGCGGCGAUGGUGUGGUGGAAGCAAGUUAAGCGGGAUCGACCUACCGAUCUCCCGCUUAUGCUUUGGGAGGAGUUCAAGAGGGCAGUCUUCGCGAAGUACUUCCCCGACACGGUGAAGCGGAGGUUACAAGAGAAGUUCCGCAAGUUGAGACAGGGUGAUCGAUCGGUGGGGGAAUACGAGCAAGAAUUCUCCCACAUUAUAGACUGUGUUCCAGAUGUUGUUAGAGACGAUCGGGAUCGCGCUGACUGGUUCUUGCGAGGACUCCAGCCCCGGAUCUACGAAACGGUGCAGAUCUUAAAGUUGACGACCUUUGCGGAGAUUUUUGAUAGAGCAUUGUGGGCAGAGCAUGGUAGCGCUCACGUGCGAGAAGAACGAGAAGCUAUUGCCGAGUCUAAGGACAGGGGCAAAAAGCGAGCAGCGGGUGGUGCCGGGGGCUUGCCAAAUGCUAGGAAAUCCCCUCGGUAUCCUUGACAGCAGUCGAAGAACUGGAGACCUCCUCGAUGUGUUAUUUGUGGUGGUGAGCACAAGGUGUCGACUUGCUCGCAGCGCGACGGCAAGUGUUUCAAAUGCGGCCAACCGGGACAUCUUAUCCAGGAGUGCCCGACAUGGACGUCGUCUGCGCCGACGGCGGCUUCAGCACCGUCUACCCCGAGACAGCUUGCGGGGUUGCCACCAGUGAUGUCGGCUCGGCGCGGGUCAUCACCGCGUCAGCCGGAGGGAUAGAGAGCGCCUAGCGGCCGGGUCUUUGUCGCUCAAGUGGAGGAGCAGCAACCUGCAGCACCCGACAACGUCGUGGCAGGUAUAAUUAUGAUUAAAGGCACUAGAGCUAGAGCAGUAUUUGAUACAGGCGCAUCAUAUUCGUUCAUUAGCACAUCAUUUGCUGAAACACAUGGCAUAGAGAUGGUAUACAACGAGGAUUACAGGUGGGUGAACGCCCCAGAACAUUCAUUCAGUGUCCAUAAUGAGUGUUUGGCGUGUCCAGUGCAAAUAGGCGAUUGGAUUAUGCCGAUUGAUCUGCUGGUGCUAGAUCAGAUGUGGGGAUUGACGUUAUCUUGGAGACCAACUAGCUCUCCAAGUGCUAUGUAGUCAUAGAUUGUGAAAGUAAGGUGAUCACUUUUCGUGAGCCUAAUCAAGAAGAGUUGGUCUACCAAGCGUGCAAAAGUAAGCGCUUUGCGGCCACCAUAUCGUCUGUGAGGGCGAAGAGAAUGAUCAAAGGAGGGUGUAAGGCCUAUUUGGCAACCAUGGUAGAUGCUAGAACGGAGUACCCAGAGUUGGGGGAUAUUCGAGUAGCGUGUGAGUACCCGGAUGUGUUUACGGCGGAGUUACCGGGACUGCCACCGGACUGGAAAGUUGAGUUCGUCAUUGACUUGAUUCCCGGGGCGGAACCAGUUUCGAAGGCUCCGUAUAGAAUGGCACCGGUGGAGUUAAAGGAGCUAAAAGGUCAACUACAAGACUUGCUCGAUAAGGGCUUCGUGAGGCCGAGUGUGUCACCGUGGGGAGCUCCGGUGCUAUUUGUGAAGAAAAAGGAUGGCACACUUCGACUCUGCGUAGAUUAUCGCGAGUUGAACAAAGUGACGAUAAAGAACAAGUACCCGUUGCCAAGGAUUGACGAUUUAUUCGAUCAGUUGCAAGGAUCCAAGGUGUAUUCGAAAAUUGAUCUCCAAUCGGGGUAUCAUCAAUUAAAGAUUAGACCGAAGGAUGUGCACAAAACGGCGUACCGUACGCGGUAUGGCCAUUAUGAGUUCACAGUAAUGCCAUUUGGGCUUAUAACGCCCCGGCAGCAUUUAUGGACUUGAUGAAUCGCGUCUUCAAGCCGUUGUUGGACCGAUGCGUCGUGGUGUUCAUAGACGACCUGUUGGUUUACUCAAAGAGUGAAGAGGAGCAUGAAGAGCAUCUGAGAGCUUUGUUGCAAAUACUCAGACAGGAGAAGCUCUAUGUAAAGUUGAAGAAGUGUGACUUUUGGCUGAAGGAGAUCAUAUUCUUGGGCCAUGUGGUGUCGGGUGACGCAGAGUUAGUAGACCCGAAAAGGGUAGAGGUAAUAAAGGAUUGGCCUCGCACGACGAAUGUAGCGGAGGUCCGCAGUUUUCUAGGACAUGCGGGCUACUACCGGCGGUUCGUGGAGGGGUUCGCCAAAAUAACCACUCCACUAACGCGCCUCACGCAUAAAAGAGUAAGGUAUGUGAGGAGCAACGAUUGCGAUCGAAGUUUCGAAGAGUUAAAGAGCAGAUUGACGUCGACCCCGGUGCUUGCCUUGCCGACUCCGGGGGAGACUUUUGUAGUGUAUAGUGAUGCCUCUUAUGUUGGUCUCGGGUGUGUACUAAUACAAAAUGGGCGAGUCAUUGCUUAUGCAUCGCGCCAAUUAAAGAGUUAUGAGAAGAACUACUCGAUUCACGACCUUAAGUUAGCCGCGGUGAUCUUCGCGCUAAAGCUAUGGAGGCAUUACUUGUAUGGUAAGCAUUGUGAGGUAUACACGGAUCAUAAAAGUCUAAAGUACUUGUUCACCCAGAAGGAGUUGAAUAUGCGCCAGCGGCGGUGGUUGGAGUUGUUGAAGGACUACGAUCUCACUAUACUAUACCACCCCGGGAAAGCCACUGUCAUGGCCGAUGCUCUAAGUAGAAAAUUGGCGGAGAACUUAGCGACGGCAAUUACGCCUCAACCGCUGUUGCACAAAGAAAUGCAACGAUUUGGGUUCGAAGUGGUAGCGCCGGGAGUGCCGGCUACACUUGCCGCACUAGUUGUACAAUCGACCCUGUUGGAAAGAAUCAAGGAUCUUCAAGCUUCGGUUCCUUAUCUUCAAAAGGUGCGAGGUGAAGUUGAGAAUGGCAACGCCGAAGAUUUUGGCGUUGGAGCUGAUGGCGCACUUCGGUUUCGAAAUCGUUGGUGCGUGCCCAAAGAUGAUGGGUUGCGAAGAGCGAUUAUGCAAGAUCCAAUCCCCCUAUAGCAUACACCCUGGCGGCACUAAAAUAUAUAAGGACUUAAAAGAGCAUUAUUGGUUGCCGGGUAUGAAGAGAGAUAUUGGGGAGUUCGUGGCGCAAUGUCUAACGUGCCAGCAGGUCAAAGCCGAGCGCCGAUUUUCGGCGGGAAAGCUAUAAAGUCUAUCAAUACUCGUUUGGAAAUGGGAAGAUAUAGCGAUGAACUUUGUUACUGGUUUUCCUCGAUCACAAGGCGGACACAAUGCGAUAUGGGUGAUAGUGGAUCGAUUGACAAAGUCAGCACACUUCUUGCCGAUACAUACUACGUGGUCGGGGGACAAGUUAGCUCAGGUUUACCUCGGCGAGAUUGUGAAACUUCAUGGGGUUCUAGUGUCGAUCAUAUCCGAUCACGACCCGAGAUUCACGUCUCAUUUCUGGAAGAGCUUACAAGACGCGCUAGGCACACGGCUCGAUUUUAGUACAGCGUUCCAUCCUCAGAGUGAUGGACAGUCGGAGCGGACAAUACAAAUUCUCGAGGACUUGCUUCGAGCGUGUAUGCUAGAUUACAAAGGAGGAUGGCAUGAUUUCUUGCCGAUGGCGGAGUUCGCCUAUAAUAAUAGCUACCAAGAAAGCAUAGCGAUGGCGCCUUUUUGAGGCACUAUAUGGACGUAAGUGUCAUUCUCCUAUCCAUUGGAACGACGUGGGCGAGAGAACGGCUCUUGGCCCGAAUGUAGUACGGGAGGCGGAAGAGAAAGUUCGCCUUGCCGGUCAACGGUUGGCGACGGCGCAAUCUCGGCAAAAGAGUUAUGCCGGGUGUAAGAUAUGGAUCCCGAGGAUCUAAAAGGUAAGUAACACCUAGAGGGGGGUGAAUAGGUGUAAUCCGGCAAUCUCGAAAAAAUCUCGAUGCAAAUAAAACACAAUUGCAGAAAUUAAAAUAGCACACCGAGAAUUUAACGUGGGAAAACUCCAAUUCGGAGUGAAAAACCCACGGGACCGAUCACGCAAAGAAAAUCCACUAAGAAAACUUGAGUACAAGUGAUUUCGACCAAAAACACACGACUCAAUUUACCGAUUUCUCGUUGACGGUGAUCUUUGCCGGUCCUCGAUCGAUAGGAAUCCACCAAUCGACCUUGCUGCUACUCCUCGCAGCGUCAACGCCUCAACUCCUCGAAGCGUCCACCGAAUCCUCGGCUUCGCGCGAGAUCCACGCGCCGAACCUCCUUCCGGAGCUUGUAGAAUUGAAGAUUUGCGGUGAUUCAACUUUUGAAAACCAUAAGCUAUGAGGGUUCACCUUUAAUCAAUCAUCUACUUGAUUCUCGUAAGAAGUAUUGAGUAAAAACGAAGAAUCAAGCCGAUGUUGAUUGCUAGAAACUCAUCGUAUAAAUCAAAACAUUGAAACGGGAAGAAAAAU
rnacentral:lncRNA from 1 species